ensembl:lncRNA
CACACUGGCUGUACAAAGUAGUGACUCAACUUAUUCUGCGCUUAUUUGGACUUAUUAUUUAUUCAGGCUCAAGCCCCACAUAUCGCUCCAAACCCCACCUUCAUUUCCUGCCAGGCCCCAGUGCAAGCUCUCCCUCGUCUGACCUCUCACAGAGCGAACCCCAUGAAUGGACAAUAGUGCCCUUCAGUGGGGCCCCAUGACCAUAGCAAAGCCUGCAGCUGGAGCACAUAGCGAUGCUGCCCUGGCCCGAGGGCACGCCGACAGCUGAGAGGGAUGAAAAGCGGCCCGGAAGCCGUAAGAGGAUGAAGACUUGGAGCUGUUUAUUCGAUGCAGAGGAGAAGUGGCCUUUAGCAGGUGUUUCGGGGGGCUGGAUGGUGAAUUUGGAGCCAAACUGCAUGAGGAUGAACCUCUGGAAAGCCCCGGGCUAUUUUUAAUCAAACAAAGGAAGCGGGAUUAGGCUCGAGGCCGUUACAAAAAAGUCCACUGGAUUUCGUGCCGGAUGUAGAAAGUAAUAAAAGAACAUUUUGUUUUUUUUGGAUGAAAAGACUGAAAGAAUGUUUUUACUGGCAAAACGACUAAGUACAUCGGACGUGCGGUGAUUGGAGUUGUGAAAGACUUCCCAGCCAACGCAACGCCCCGAUGCUCCUCUUCACUCGGCUGCUCUGACCUUUGAUGGAGAGGACUUGGAGAUCAUGUAUACCCUGCAAACAGGGGGCUUGUCUCCAACCUAAUCUGUCCCGGGGGCUGAGAUUGAUGCCGUCCGAGGCUUAGGGGACUUCAAUGCAGACCUGUUCCUUUCAACAGGAUGUGUUACGGCAGGAUUGCAAAUUACCAAAAGUUGUUUAAUCACGGAUUGAUAAGAACAAUAGUUUCCCAGGAUACCAGACCGCCGCGCAUUUAGCUCCCAGACACACAACCUCCCAAACGUCAUUCUUUGUCGCUCUGUUUGCUUAUGGCCCUACUGUUUCUUAAAUAUACAACGGAUCACUCACGCCUACACACGUAGAAUUCAAGACCUGUGACUCCCCUUUGUUUUGCCACAGAUUUCCCCCUCUAUCGCCCUCCGACCCGCCAAACACACACGCUAUUACUCCUCAAACGUCCACGUUCAAAGUUACGGCAAUGCAAGAUUAAAUUUACAGAGAAACCCCGCCCAGCGCGCCUCUCCCUUCUUUCCAGGGACUCGGUAUUUCAACACAGGCCGGGUGUAUAUAUAUAAAUAUAUAUAUAUACACACAUAUGAGCGUGGGCCCCACCCCGCAGCUGUGCACCUGGAACUGUUCCCAUUCCAGCACGGCAGUGAACCCACACCUGUUCACACCUGAGGCCUGCGCCUCUGGACCGCCACCUACCAGCCUGCCUUUUGUUUCAUCCAUCAACUGCUGCGGCUGACACGAGCUGAGGGAGCAGGCGGUUUGAAGAAAAACAUUCAGUCUCAUCAGAGCAAUGUCAAGUAUGUAAAAGUCAUCCACACAUGUGGCGCAUGUGAGAGACGUUGGUGUCUGGUUUGAAUAGAGGUUGGUGUCACUGAGCCAAUUCCACCAGCGUCGAACACAUUACGUUAGCACGAUGAAUUCCCCCUUUUCUUAGUGAGGUGUUACACAGUUUACUGCAUAUGCAAACAGACGAAACCAUUCACGCAAAAAGUGUCAUUUUUGUGAAUAACUUUCAAGGUUUUUUUCCUGGCUAGAUUACAAUGUUAACGUGCAUAAUUUACUGUUUGUCAGAAUUACUGUUUAAGCAUAAACAAAAGUCCUGUCAGACUUCAAUAAAAGUUUCAAUGUCUUAGCUUUCAUUAUGCCAGCUAAAUAACAAUGGCUUUUGUUUCUGUUUACAUCAAAUCAUCCUUUUCACCGCCUGUCAGUGUCCCACAUGGGGGAGUGUGUCGCUUUGCAGCACAAACACUCUCUGCUAAUGACUUGACCACUCCAAACAAAUCUGGGAGGUCCGAGCGCGCACAGCGAGGCUUCCUGCUCUCCCUCAUGGCUGCUGACAGCUGUGAUAUUAGACCAUCUGCUGCGCUCUCUUACUGCUCGUUCACCUCAACAAACUGGGUGGAUUUGACUUGGGAGUUGUCUGCAUCUGUGAGGGUUGAACACCAGCAUAAAAAUUAAAAAAAGUGGGUCAUACACAAACUUGAAGACAACUCCCAAGUCAAUGGGACUUGACUUGGGAGUUGAAGUUGAAAAGUCCUUGAAAUUUUCAACUUGUUGCUGUCUUUGAUCGCCUGUAACUUUCUCUCUUUCUUUCAGUUUGAACGACGUCCAAAAGAAGAGCUUGCAUUUUUGCUGUUAAUAUGAAGCUUUUGUGUGACAUAGCCAGCUUCACUAUGGUAAUCUUAAUCUUUAUAAAUAGAGUAUUUUCUCAAAGAAUACCUGGUGGUGUAUUUUCCACACUUUCAUGUGUGGUUUUGCACUUUUGACCUUUUUUUUAAAAAGUUGGACAACUAAAUAUUUAUAAUAUGUAAAAAUAAAUAUAAAUCUAAUUUUGCUCCAGUUUCAACUUGUGGUUCCUGGCUUUGAACUACAAUGUCUGAAACAUGAAUUAUAUACACAGUGUCCCAAAAUACCUGCAGUAUUAUACUUAUACUUAUAGAAUGGGGCUGCUCUCCCAUGUGAAUAAAAACCUAUACAAGCCAAUAAUGACUCACAUGAUGUAAUAUGGAUGUUGCAUUGCAUAAUUGUAUGCCAGUAACCAUCUCUCAAAAGAUUAAGUUAUAUCCUGUUAGUAUAUAUUAAAAAAAUAUCUUAAUUAGUAAUUUGUAACAAUUCAUUGUUUCUUGCAGCUAAGGUCCUGACACAUUU